rnacentral:lncRNA from 1 species
UAAAAUAAACAAGUUCACGAUAAAUUGCAUAAAUUCUUCAGACACUUUACUUACAAGAAACACUAAAAAAAAAAAAAUCAAAAAUGAGAAGCUCAACAUUCUUAAGUAUAUGUCUUUUGGUAUUUUUGUUGCUGGUUAACUUUGAAAGAACAGUGGGAAAUAAAG